rnacentral:rRNA from 1 species
AUUGAACGCUGGCGGCAUGCCUUACACAUGCAAGUCGAACGGUAACGCGGGGCAACCUGGCGACGAGUGGCGAACGGGUGAGUAAUGUAUCGGAACGUGCCCAGUUGUGGGGGAUAACUGCUCGAAAGAGCAGCUAAUACCGCAUACGACCUGAGGGUGAAAGCGGGGGAUCGCAAGACCUCGCGCAAUUGGAGCGGCCGAUAUCAGAUUAGGUAGUUGGUGAGGUAAAGGCUCACCAAGCCGACGAUCUGUAGCUGGUCUGAGAGGACGACCAGCCACACUGGGACUGAGACACGGCCCAGACUCCUACGGGAGGCAGCAGUGGGGAAUUUUGGACAAUGGACGCAAGUCUGAUCCAGCCAUGCCGCGUGCGGGAAGAAGGCCUUCGGGUUGUAAACCGCUUUUGUACGGAACGAAACGGUCCUGGUUAAUACCUGGGGCUAAUGACGGUACCGUGAGAAUAAGCACCGGCUAACUACGUGCCAGCCGCCGCUGUAACAC